rnacentral:rRNA from 1 species
CCUACGGGAGGCAGCAGUAGGGAAUAUUGCUCAAUGGGGAAAACCCUGAAGCAGCAACGCCGCGUGGAGGAUGAAGGUUUUCGGAUUGUAAACUCCUUUUGUUAGAGAAGAUAAUGACGGUAUCUAACGAAUAAGCACCGGCUAACUCCGUGCCAGCAGCCGCGGUAAUACGGAGGGUGCAAGCGUUACUCGGAAUCACUGGGCGUAAAGAGCGCGUAGGCGGGAUAGCAAGUCAGAUGUGAAAUCCUAUGGCUUAACCAUAGAACUGCAUUUGAAACUGUUAUUCUAGAGUAUGGGAGAGGUAGGUGGAAUGCUUGGUGUAGGGGUAAAAUGCGUAGAGAUCACGAGGAAUACUCAUUGCGAAGGCGACCUGCUAGAACAUAACUGACGCUGAUGCGCGAAAGCGUGGGGAGCAAACAGGAUUAGAUACCCGGGUAGUC